rnacentral:rRNA from 1 species
GAUGAACGCUGGCGGCGUGCCUAAUACAUGCAAGUCGAGCGAACAGACGAGGAGCUUGCUCCUCUGACGUUAGCGGCGGACGGGUGAGUAACACGUGGAUAACCUACCUAUAAGACUGGGAUAACUUCGGGAAACCGGAGCUAAUACCGGAUAAUAUAUUGAACCGCAUGGUUCAAUAGUGAAAGACGGUUUUGCUGUCACUUAUAGAUGGAUCCGCGCCGCAUUAGCUAGUUGGUAAGGUAACGGCUUACCAAGGCAACGAUGCGUAGCCGACCUGAGAGGGGGAGCGGCCGCACGGGAACUGAGACACGGUCCAGACUCCUACGGGAGGCAGCAGUAGGGAAUCUUCCGCAAUGGGCGAAAGCCUGACGGAGCAACGCCGCGUGAGUGAUGAAGGUCUUCGGAUCGUAAAACUCUGUUAUUAGGGAAGAACAAAUGUGUAAGUAACUAUGCACGUCUUGACGGUACCUAAUCAGAAAGCCACGGCUAACUACGUG